UACGGAGGGGGCUAGCGUUGUCCGGAAUUACUGGGCGUAAAGAGCUCGUAGGUGGUUUGUCGCGUUGUCCGUGAAAACUCACAACUCAAUUGUGGGCGUGCGGGCGAUACGGGCAGACUGGAGUACUGCAGGGGGAGACUGGAAUUCCUGGUGUAGCGGUGGAAUGCGCAGAUAUCAGGAGGAACACCGGUGGCGAAGGCGGGUCUCUGGGCAGUAACUGACGCUGAGGAGCGAAAGCGUGGGGAGCGAACAGG
rnacentral:rRNA from 1 species